CCCCUCUCCUUUCACACACAACUCCACGCCCCCUGGUUUGGGGCUGGAAGACAUCCCAAAGCCGAGUGUUUUAGAAAUCGUCUGUUGUGGUUUCUGGUUGUGAUACCAGAAUUUUCUGACGGAAAGGCAGGAGGAUUGCGAUGUCCCUAGCUGUGUAAAGUUGACAAAAACAACCCCCAAACAACCACAACCAAAACUGAACCAGCAUAACAAGAAACAGAACUUGAUGACAUUUCCAGAAACCACUGGUCUCCUGAAGGGAUGCACAUGGCAAUGCAGAGAACUAAAAAGAGAAUGGUCUCCAAGAAGAACAGAAGUCAAAGGCCUGGCCACUGUCAUUUCACUUUUUCUCUUCCCCAUCAGUGUCUGAUCCACUCUCCUCUUUGUUCACAGGCUGCCUCAGCCUCCCUGUGACCUCCGGUCUCAGUGUUGUACAAAAUGCAAUGAAUGGCUCUCUCCAUAUGAGACCCCUGAUUUUCUUGCUUCAGGGCCAUCUGCUUCCUGACUGGUACCUGGAGAUCCCACUGUCCCCCAAAGGAAAGGCAAAUUGGCAGUCAUCUAGUCAUUGACAGAUCUAGUCUCUUUGUUGUAAUUUAUAGUCUAUUUCUAAACUAUAUCUCUCCACACAGCUAAUCAUAUAGAACAAUUGUUUGUUUGUUUGUUUUGUUGUUGUUGUUUUUCAAGACAGGGGUUCUCUGUGACCAGGUUAGCCUCGAACUCAUGAAGAUCCACAUGCCUCUGCCUACUGAGUGCCAAGACUAAACACAUGUGCCACCAGGCCUGGCAUCAAAUUGGUUCUUAGCUUAAUUAUUACUGGUAAAAUUGUUUGCUUGCUAAUUUGUGUGCUUAUUUUGAGACAGGGUCUCACUAUGUAGCGUCAGCUGGCCUGGAACUGGCUAUUAUAAAUAGUUCAGACUGGCCACGAACUCAUAGAAAUCCGCCUGCCUCUGCCUCAGCAGCGCUGGGAGUAAAGUGUGCCCCACCACACCUUGUUUUCUCUUCUGAGACAGUGUUGGUUGUUGGUUGGUAGACAGCUCAGCCUCCUGAAUGCUGGGUGAUAGGCCUGGUUCACCAUGCCUAGCUAUUGGUAACACUUGCCCCUUCUCACCCCUCACCCAUGUGCUUGUGUGUGUGUGGGUAGGUUUCAGAGGCAGUGUAAACAGAGACUGAGUCUGACCUUCAGCAGAUAGGACUGUGCACCUUAGUCCUUACAGUGGGAAGGCUGGCGGGACUGCCAGGGGAAAGGCUGGCCGUGAUCCUUCACAGAGGAUCCUUUAUGAGCAGCUUGGGAAUGAGGAGGUUGUUGCAGCUGUAGGAAGCGACAUGUCUCUCCUCCCUGAAAUUGUCUGCCCAAGGCAAGAUGGAAGACAGGAUGGCUCAAGAGAUAUUCCUUUCUGUGUUGACCAAUGACCACUGAACAAGGCACCCUGUCAGUGUGAACCGCUAACCACCCAACAUGUACCUGCUUCCUGGGGGUCUGAACUCUGUUCCUCAGGCAUGUAACCACUCAGUCCAGAUGCUGACACUUUUAGCAAUCAAAAAACCAUGAGUGGAAUAGCGACCCUUUUGCAGGAAUCCAAAAGUGCUUGGAGUCUUGUAAGAUUCAUCUUGGAGGUUUGCCCUGGCAGCUGGCUUCCGUAGAUUUGGAAGAAGUAGGCACCCUCAGGCAGCACGGCUGAGGCACAGGAAGAGAAUUCCAUUUCCAUGCUUGAAAACAUAUUUUUCUUGGCAGAGAAACGAGGCUAGUUGUCUCUUUUGAGUUACUGCUUAUUCAUCCUUGGCUCUUCCGACAAAUCCUCAAAAAAGAAUACGAUUUACCAGUGUGUGGCAAUGUAUUUAAAGAAGGAUUAUCUCAACUUCUGAUAAUGACUGUCAUCGGAAGAAAUGCUUUUAAGACUGAUCUCUGCCAGUUAGUCUUGAAAUAACUGUGCGUUUUAAUGUCAACACAGCUGAGAGCUCAUGGCCAUCACUCUGACUAAUUAGACCUUCGCUAUCCCUGCUGCCAGAUGGCAGCCCUGAGGUGAUUAGUGGAAUGACUCAGCAGGACUAGCUCGGGCAACCUUAGCUGAGUUUAUGGUUCUGCUAGUAGAGGCCACUGUAACUAUGGCCUGGCUCAUUGUUUCCUGUAAGUAGCAAGUAGACAAGCGACUUUCUACCUGACUGCAUCUGUCCACUGACUAAAAUUUUGGCUUAGUUAGAAGUUAGAUAGAUGCACAUAACAAAGGAAAGUUCCACUAGCAAAUGAGCCAUUGUGAGAUUAACCAAUUACUGUGUUAGUGAUGAAGCAAUUGAGUAGAGCAGACCUGUGCUGUUACGAAUUCUUCCUAUGAAGUCACACAUCAGGUUUCUGAAAAGCCCUAGGCCAGAGAGGUGGCUCAAUGAUUAAGACUGCUUAGUGCCCUUGCAGAGGGCCCAGGAUAUGUGUGUAUAUACACACACACACACACACAUAUCCAUUAUUUAUGUGUGUUUAUCCACACACACACAUAUAUAUCCAUUAAAAAAAUUAUGUGGGGCUGGAGAGAUGGCUCCGAGGUUAAGAGCACUGGCUGCUCUUCCAGAGGGCCUGAGCUCACCAUGUAGCCCACAUGGUGGCCUACAACCAUCUAUAAUGAGAUAUGAUGCCUUCUUCCGCCCUGGAGGCGUACAUACAGGCAGAAUACUGUAUACAUAAUAAAUCUUUAAAAAAAUUUAUGUGCCCCAGUAGUAAUUCUAUUUAAGCCUCUAUUUUCUUAUACUGCAGUAAAUUGAAAGUCUUUCCAGUGUACAGAUGGCUCUUAGAUCAUGAGAAAUAACAAAACGUCCAUUUUUGGUUUUGUCUGUUUGUUUAUUUCUUGUUUUGUUUUGUGGUUUUGGAUUUUUUGUAUGUUUUGAGACACAGUCUCACUGUGUAGCUCUAGCUGGACUGAAACUCACUACAUAGACCAGGGUGGCCUUGAACUCGUAGUGCUCCACCUACCUUUGUCUCCCAGUGCUGGGAUUGAAUGUGUGCACUACCAUAGCAUGCCUGGCAAUGCCCUCUAUUUUUAAGAGAAAAAAAAGUGACUCAAGAGCAGCCACCUUGAAACCUGACAAUGCCAUCAGAUGACAUGGGGUGAUGUCCUCAGCCUCCCAAUAAGGGUGCAUUGAGUGGGCAUCUGGCCAGGCUGGCACUGACCGAAGCACUGUAGCAGUAACAGCAAGCCCGAGCUACCAGGCUUUUACAAAGAAGGCUGCUGCUCAAAGGGGCAAGAACAUGGUUCAUCUAUGUCUCUGUCUACGCACUCUCCUGAAGUAGGUGUGCUGCGUAACAAAUAGCAUUGAUUGUUCCUGGAGGUGGGUUUUAAGAGAAUAAGCAUAGCAGGAGAGGGGAUCCUCCUCUAUAGAUCCUUUCAGAAUUAAAACAAUUAAGAUGCAAAUAUGUGCUGCCUACAUAGUUAAUCUCAUCUUCCUUUUGUCGUCCUUGUCUAUCUUUUUAAUAUUAAAAAAUUAAUUUAUGUAUAUAUGCAUCUAUAUGAAUACAGGUGCACUGGGAGGCCAGAAGAGGGUGUUAAAUCCCCUGGAAAUGGAGUUUCAUGCAGUUCUGAGCAUUCAACAUGGGUAUUGGGAGCCAAACUCAGGUCUUCUGGAAGAGUAGCUAGUGCUCUUAACUGAGGAGCCAUUUCUUCAGUCCCUUCCUUCCUUCUUCCCUUCCCCUCCCUUCCCCUCCCUUCUCCUCCCUUCUCCCUUUCCCCUCCCUCCCCUCCUCUCCGGUACCCUUCCUUCCUUCCUCCUUCCUUUCUCUUUCCUUCCUUCUCUUCCCUUCCUUUUUCUUCCUUCCUAAACAGAGGAUCAUAGCCAAAGCCAGCCUGAAACAUUAAAUCCUCCUUCCUCAGGAUCUUUUUUUUUUAAUACUGCACUUUCUUUCUUUUUUUUUUUAACAACUAUCUAUUUAUUUAUUUAUUAUACAAAAUUUUGCCUGUGUGUGCGCCUGCACAUUGGAAAAGGGCAUCAGAUCUCACUAUAGAUGGUUACAAGCCACCAUGUGAUUGCUGGGAAUUGAACACAGGACCUUUGGAAGAACAGCCAGUUAACCUCUGAGCCAUCUCUCUAGCCCCCUUCCUCAGGCUCUUAAUGCUGAAAUUACAGGGCUGCACCACACCACUCGGCUUUUCCGAUUUAGCUGUUUUGAGGUUUUUGGGGUUUUUUUUUUCUUUUUUUUUUUCUUUUGUUGUGGGGACUGCACUUCUUUUCAUCCUUGCAUUUAUGCCACAAGGAAAACAUUGCUAGCAUUCCCUGUGCAGCAGGUUCUUCACUCAACCAGGAGAACCACCUCACCCCUGCCCCCAGAGAAGGUGGGACAACACGAAACAAGAACACAGAGACUGAUUGCAGGAACUCAUUCAAGCCUGGCCUUGUUGCUCACUGGAAUUUUCUAGCUAGCUCUGGAAGCUUUGUCAGUCACUCUUUGCCUUCCUUUCAUUUUCCUCUGCCAGGGUUUUCCGUCUUAUCUCCCUUCCCUGACUAAUAGCCCAGUCCCAGCUUCUAGAAACUUACAACACAGAACCAUUUGACUUUCUGUCCUGCCGCCAUUCACUGGCAUUUGGCUUCAGAAAGCUAGUGACAUAUUAGUGUGAUGUUUCCUGGGCUGGUGAGAUGGCUCAGUGGGCAAAGGUACCAGAUGCUGAGCCUGAAACCUGAGUUCAAUCCCUGGGACUCUUAUGGUGGAUGGAAAGACUCAUGAAACAAUAAAAAAAUAAAAUAAAAUUUUUAAAUAGCACA